UACGUAUGGGGCAAGCGUUAUCCGGAUUUACUGGGUGUAAAGGGAGCGUAGGCGGCAGGGCAAGCCUGAUGUGAAAGCCCGGGGCUCAACCCCGGGACUGCAUUGGGAACUGCCCCGCUCGAGUGCCGGAGGGGCAGGCGGAAUUCCUAGUGUAGCGGUGAAAUGCAUAGAUAUCACGCAGAACUCCGAUUGCGAAGGCAGCAUACCGGCGCCCAACUGACGCUGAAGCACGAAAGCGUGGGUAUCGAACAGG
rnacentral:rRNA from 1 species